rnacentral:rRNA from 1 species
CCCUUAGAUGUCCUGGGCCGCACGCGCGCUACACUGAUGCAUUCAACGAGUAUUUCCUUGGCCGAGAGGCCUGGGCAAUCUUUUAAACCUGCAUCGUGAUAGGGAUAGAUUAUUGCAAUUAUUAAUCUUGAACGAGGAAUUCCUAGUAAACGCAAAUCAUCAAUUUGCAUUGAUUACGUCCCUGCCCUUUGUACACACCGCCCGUCGCACCUACCGAUUGAAUGGUCCGGUGAAAUCUCGGGAUUGUGGCCAGUUCACUUUAUUGGGAGUUGGCUGCGAGAACUUGCUUAAACCUUAUCAUUUAGAGGAAGGUGAAGUCGGAACA